UCGAACUUUGUUUACAAAUGAUCUUACAACAUUUAGAAAGUUGCUAAUUUCUAAAUCACUGUGGUUUGCAUGUAUAGCAAUUAUGACUGCAUGUCUUUCUAUUUCUUGAGUUAGCAUGAUAUCUUGAAAGGGUUAUCUGAAAACAAAAAUGAUACAUUAAAUAAUUUAAAGGUGUAAUGAACUAAAAACGAAGUGUCCUCAAAUACCCCUCGCAUCUUGUAUAUAUAUAUGUAUAUAUAUACACACAUACACAUGCACACACGUACACAUACA